AUUGAACGCUGGCGGCAGGCCUAACACAUGCAAGUCGAACGAGUGGCGGACGGGUGAGUAAUGUCUGGGAAACUGCCUGAUGGAGGGGGAUAACUACUGGAAACGGUAGCUAAUACCGCAUACCAUCAGAUGUGCCCAGAUGGGAUUAGCUUGUGGGUGGGGUAACGGCUUCCCAAGGCGACGAUCCCGAGCUGGUCUGAGAGGAGGACAAGCCACACUGGAACUGAAAAACGGUCCGGUCUCCUACGAGAGGCAGAAGUGGGGAAUAUUGGACAAUGGGCGCAAGCCUGAUGCAGCCAUGCCGCGUGUAUGAAGAAGGCCUUCGGGUUGUAAAGUACUUUCAGCGGGGAGGCGUUACCCGCAGAAGAAGCACCGGCUAACUCCGUGCCAGCUGCCGCGGUAAUAC
rnacentral:rRNA from 1 species